GGUAAGAGGGCGCCGACUUACUCAUGUUCUGACGUCCUCUGGAGAGUUGGAUCGGGCUUGUGCGCUGUAGGUUGUGCCGCCGGCCUAGGAACCAUGAGGGGGAGGAGGCCAGGGACUGGGAGGCCUAGGGUGUUCUAGGAGUGUGCCGCAGCGCCCCUGUUCCCCAUCCGCCCCGUGCACCCGCCCAGCCUGCCCGCUAAACCUGGGUCCCCUCGCGCCUGCCAUAUAUCCGGGGCUCUUGGCAUCUGCAGCCACAGCCCCUACAAGCCAAGGUACUUUCUUUGCGACUACUAGAAUCCCUCUCGUUCCCCUCCAAUGGGC
rnacentral:lncRNA from 1 species